rnacentral:tRNA from 1 species
GGAGAGAUGGCUGAGUGGUCGAAAGCGACAGAUUGCUAAUCCGUUGUACGAGAAAACCGUACCGAGGGUUCGAAUCCCUCUCUCUCCG